rnacentral:rRNA from 1 species
GACGAACGCUGGCGGCGUGCCUAAUACAUGCAAGUAGAACGCACAGUUUAUACCGUAGCUUGCUACACCAUAGACUGUGAGUUGCGAACGGGUGAGUAACGCGUAGGUAACCUGCCUGGUAGCGGGGGAUAACUAUUGGAAACGAUAGCUAAUACCGCAUAAUAUUGAUUAUUGCAUGAUAAUUGAUUGAAAGAUGCUAUUGCAUCACUACCAGAUGGACCUGCGUUGUAUUAGCUAGUAGGUGAGGUAACGGCUCACCUAGGCGACGAUACAUAGCCGACCUGAGAGGGUGAACGGCCACACUGGGACUGAGACACGGCCCAGACUCCCACGGGAGGCAGCAGUAGGGAAUCUUCGGCAAUGGACGAAAGUCUGACCGAGCAACGCCGCGUGAGUGAAGAAGGUUUUCGGAUCGUAAAGCUCUGUUGUAAGAGAAGAACGGGUGUGAGAGUGGAAAGUUCACACUGUGACGGUAUCUUAACAGAAAGGGACGGCUAACUACGUG